GAUGAACGCUGGCGGCGUGCCUAAUACAUGCAAGUCGAGCGAACGGACGAGAAGCUUGCUUCUCUGAUGUUAGCGGCGGACGGGUGAGUAACACGUGGAUAACCUACCUAUAAGACUGGGAUAACUUCGGGAAACCGUCGCUAAUACCGGAUAAUAUUUUGAACCGCAUGGUUCAAAAGUGAAAGACGGUCUUGCUGUCACUUAUAGAUGGAUCCGCGCUGCAUUAGCUAGUUGGUAAGGUAACGGCUUACCAAGGCAACGAUGCAUAGCCGACCUGAGAGGGGGAUCGGCCACACUGGAACUGAGCCACGGACCAGACUCCUACGGGAGGCAGCAGUAGGGAAUCUGCGGCAAUGGGCGAAAGCCUGACGGAGCAGCGCGGCGUGAGUGAUGAAGGUCUUCGGAUCGUAAAACUCUGUUAUUAGGGAAGAACAUAUGUGUAAGUAACUGUGCACAUCUUGACGGUACCUAAUCAGAAAGCCACGGCUAACUACGUG
rnacentral:rRNA from 1 species